ensembl:snRNA U2 U2 spliceosomal RNA
AUCGCUUCUCGGCCUUUUGGCUGAGAUCAAGUGUAGUAUCCGUUCUUAUCAGUUUAAAACUCUCGUUCCUUUUUAUCCCCAAACUCUGUCUUCAUGUCAUAUUUUGGCUCUGGAGCACAGAGGUCGGUUUGCAACAACGACAUCCCUGUU